UCUAAGUUUCUUUUUCCAUGCUCUAAUCGUGGAAAUAUUGAGAUAUGGAAGGCAAAAUUUAACCAGAGCUGGGAAAGCAAGAUAAUUCCAAGGGUAAAGGUCUAGACCUUCUGCCGUACUUCGUAGACCAGCACUGUCUCCCCAGCCCCGAUGGAAGGAGAGAAGGGCUCCAGCGAGCUGAGAGGAUGCCGGCCCCACGAGAGCCUUCCCAGGAGGGGUGCAGCCACUCAGCCUCCUGGGUUGACUCAGAAGAAAGUGCCAUAUGCCCACUGUGCAGCUUGGAGCGUGUUUUCCUGGCCUGACUCGCCAUCACCACCAGACUUCUAUUAUUUGCAGUCAGUAACAAAGAUUCAUCCUUGUGUCCAUCAAGCAACAAGGAUAAUCUUUGUCACUUAGUGUAAUUAAUAGCGACACUUCACGUGGGAAGAUGGAAGAAGGAUGCCCUUCUCACACAGACUUGGGUGGAUUCAGAACACACUUCAUGGUUCCCUGCUGCCUUUUGACCAAUUAAAAAGCCAGAACUCAACAGAGGUGGGAAGAUGGCUCAUUCUUACCUUCCCAGUCCUCCUCAUUAGUGGACAGCCUUCAGAAGCAUUUGGGUUGGCUCAAAAAAUAUCUACAAACAAAAAGUAUGAAAAUGAGCAUCUUGGUGCAAAUGCAGCACAGCGUCAUCUGGGCACAGAGCCCUUUCCUUCCCACUGCUGCAACAUCCACUGACCAGGCAGACACAGUUCUACACCAAACCCCUGGGGGAGUUCCUUAAGACUGGCGUUCAAAGUUAUAAAAACUUACAACACCCUUGAAAUA